AGUGAACGCUGGCGGUAGGCCUAACACAUGCAAGUCGAACGGCAGCACAGUAAGGGCUUGCUCUUACGGGUGGCGAGUGGCGGACGGGUGAGGAAUACAUCGGAAUCUACUUUUUCGUGGGGGAUAACGUAGGGAAACUUACGCUAAUACCGCAUACGACCUACGGGUGAAAGCAGGGGAUCUUCGGACCUUGCGCGAUUGAAUGAGCCGAUGUCGGAUUAGCUAGUUGGCGGGGUAAAGGCCCACCAAGGCGACGAUCCGUAGCUGGUCUGAGAGGAUGAUCAGCCACACUGGAACUGAGACACGGUCCAGACUCCUACGGGAGGCAGCAGUGGGGAAUAUUGGACAAUGGGCGCAAGCCUGAUCCAGCCAUACCGCGUGGGUGAAGAAGGCCUGCGGGUUGUAAAGCCCUUUUGUUGGGAAAGAAAAGCAGCAGGUUAAUACCCCGCUGUUCUGACGGUACCCAAAGAAUAAGCACCGGCGAACUUCGU
rnacentral:rRNA from 1 species